CCCGGGAUGGAGGCGGGUUGGAGGGAUAGCGAGGAGUAAGGCUGGGAGAAGUCUGCACGAACCAGCUAGGGUUAGGUGAGGCGAGAUAGCUGGGCUAGCAGCAGAUAGAGCCAGAGGUCCCCGUGAAGGACACAGUGUAGGGGCACCUACCUCUGGUGCAGUUAUUGCUCCCUUGUGUUAAUAAACCGGCGCAAGCCCUUACCUGCAAACCUGCAUCCGAGUCGUCACUCACCACGCAACACAUUUUGACCCCAACGUGUACGAAUGUCUGAACAACAUCAUCCUGGCUUCACCGCUCACCAGUGGAUACAGGCUUGGCAGAAUGUGCAAAAAUAAACCUGCAAGCAAGUGCAGUCACGGCGGGAUAAACGAUGCGUGGCAGAACCAGACUGCGACGGGCGGCAUCAACAAGGAGACUCUGGAGCCGAAGCUCUCUCCGCACCACUACCAUCACGACGAAGCGGGGCACGUGGCCAUGAUCGCCACGCGAGACCUCCUCGUCA